rnacentral:rRNA from 1 species
UACGUAGGGUGCGAGCGUUAAUCGGAAUUACUGGGCGUAAAGCGUGCGCAGGCGGUUAUGCAAGACAGGUGUGAAAUCCCCGGGCUCAACCUGGGAACUGCACUUGUGACUGCAUGACUAGAGUGCGUCAGAGGGAGGUGGAAUUCCGCGUGUAGCAGUGAAAUGCGUAGAGAUGCGGAGGAACACCGAUGGCGAAGGCAGCCUCCUGGGAUGACACUGACGCUCAUGCACGAAAGCGUGGGGAGCAAACAGG